UCUGGCGGCAAUAGCGCGGUGGUCCCACCUGACCCCAUGCCGAACUCAGUGGUGAAACGCCGUAGCGCCGAUGGUAGUGUGGGGUCUCCCCAUGUGAGAGUAGGGAACUGCCAGAC
rnacentral:rRNA from 1 species